AUGAUGAUGAUAGUUCAGGAUAUGGAUAUGUAGAACUUACAUAUUCUUCCAGGGACGCCCGAACUCCUGAUGGUGAGGAUUCCGAUAAAGAAGAACAGAUUGCAUUAGUGAAUGAGAUUGAAGAAGAUGAUGUUGUAUCAGAACAUAAUAUUGAAGGCAUAGAUGAUACUCAUGAUGAUAGAAGUCACACAGACAACCUAUCUGAGUCAGAAGAUGAAACAAAUUCAAAAGAUGUCAUAGAGACACCAGCAGAGAUAGAACGGAGACAAGAGGAGAUAAACACAAACACAGGAACAAAAGAGAUAGAAACAUCCAAGGAACAGAAGAGAUUGAAGGGAGCAAAGGAGCUGAAGGUCAACAUAAAACAAGGAAGAAACAAAUAGGAAAGCCAGUACCAGAGCUCAGGAAAUCCAUUAGGCAGACUAAGAAACCUGAAUGGCAGAGAGAUUACCAUCUAUAUCAACUUACCAACAGACCAGUCGAUAGCAGACUCGAAGCUUUGGAUAAGUUGAUUAACUCUGGAAUUUUAGAUACAUUAAAUUCAGACAUUACACAUAGGAUUUUAGAGGCUGUGAUGAAAUAAAGAUAACAUGGAAUAUAAAGAAUAAGACGAAAGACAGUUUUUAAAGUUUUAAUAUGUAAAUAUUACCUGAAAGAGAAGUCAUUCAUAUACAUGUACUUCAAGAAUGAUGUUAAAUGUACUAUCAAGUGAAAUUUGAUAUCAACUACAGAUGAAUGCUGUGUUUAACUUGAAAUGGAACAUGAUAGUAUAUGUAUGAAGCAUGAUUUAUAGAAUGAAACAAACAUCAUCUUUUGAAUUAAGUGUAAAAAGAAAAAUAUGAGGUAUAUUACUUCAUAUACAAUAACUUGGUGAGCUGACAAGGAAGAAGCUAAUGAAACUUAGGUGAGCUUCAUUAACUACUUGAUAGCUAAAAUAUCUGUGUUAUUAUAGUGUAAUAUUUUUAUCAUAUUUUCAGGUAACUAUAUGCUUGUUUUUAUUACAAAUUGCGAGGACGCAAUUUUCAGAGAGGGCGACAACAGUUAUUUAUUGAGUAAUUUUCUUGUUGUAUAUAGAAAUUAAUUUCAGUUGCAGAAAAUGGACCUGAAGUGGAAAUAUUUUUGUUUGUUUUGGGUUGUGACAUACAAACUAAGAUAUUGAUAAGUUAUACUUAGUUUAUACUUAGUAUAAUAAUCUAGUUAGAAUUAGAUUAUGAACUUUAGUUUAUUUAAGUAUUAAUACCUAAAGUAUUAAUGAUGAACUUUUUGCAGAUGUUAGAUAAAUGACGGGACGUCAUUUUCCGGACCGGGGGAGUGUGUAACCGGGUUGAAUUUAUUACAUUUAUAUUUAUUAACUCUCGGUUAAUACUUAAUCAUGUUCCUUUCCGAUUAAUCCCUGUUUGUCGUCUUUCUACUUUUACUUUCGGUUUUAUAGUUAUUUUUAGUUCCCGCGCUUUGGUCAUGUGAUUAGUCAUGUGGUAGUUUUAUACCUGUUGUACGUCAUUCUUUCGCUAUAACUGACAGAGGUCAGACAUGUUUUAUAGAGAGAAGUGAAACGUUUGUCUUGAGUUUUUUAAACUCGGCUAGCAGUGUGAGGUGUAGCAUUUUAUCCUUUUGUAAAGUAGAUACAGUAACCGGAGCACAGACAGAGAGACGUGGUGUGUGUCAUGUAUUGUUACAGAAAGGGUUUGAUCCCAUCAGAUCAACCUGAAAGGUUUUGGUAUCUGUCCAUAAGAAGGAAUAGUAUUUAGAGGAGUGCUGGUAUUAACUGUUAUCAACUGAAACUGGAUUGUUUUAAGCGGAAUGAUGAAAUAAUUUCACAGUCAACCAGCAGAAAGAAUAUUAGGUAUACGAAAACGAUUUUCAAUUAAAACUGUUAUUUGGACAAUGGCGUCAAAUGAUCCCAAGUUUACGGACAAGACAUUUCUGAAUUGGUUGAAAUCUGCAUUAGCCGUAUUCUUUACAAAAACAGCAUUGGAUAAAUUUGUAUUAGAUGAAUUAACACAGUUUCAAAAAGAUCUUUUAGAAUCAAUAUUCUCUCAAAAUGCAAUAUCGGCAGGUACUGUUUGCACUUUGUGUACCACUGAAAAUGUUCUUUACUGCCCAACACAAAACUUCUGCCCAAGAGGAAAACC
rnacentral:lncRNA from 1 species